GACUGCCAUUCUUCUAAAAGAAAAGAAAAGACUUUUCUUCUAAAAGUUGUUUAGUCGUGGCAAAGAAAAAAUUAUAAGAAAUUAGACUAUUCAAUUGAGAAUUCUGUCAAUUCUGUACCAUUUCUAACACUACUUUGUAUUUAGACACUGUACCCACUAGAAGAUGACGGUGGUGAUUGGUUGUACAGCAAGUUUUAGGGCUUCCGAACAAGAAAGAAUGCCAGCAGGACCUCUGCAGGUCGAAAUUACCUUUGCAAGGGUACCAGGUUUGGAAAGAAGAAUAGUCAUUUCAUGGGCAUUAUUGUUGCAGUUAUCAAAUUCUAUGUGAUUAGCGAUCCUAGUAAUCAGGCUGCUAUUGUGCAUUGUGACGAUGUAACUCCCAAAUGUGAUACAUAUCAAGGAUUCAAGGCCAUCCUCCAUCAUUUGGCACCCUCAAACUGGUCAUGAAGGAUUCUAACGUUUAUCAAACGCCAAGCAGAGUACAGAGAUUGCAAUCACGAGUAUACGCCACCGAACUGAGAUGAGAACGUAUUAAGAAUUCGGCCACUGGUUUCUAUGAAUUGAGCUGGAAAGAGACUUUGAUGGUGAUAGGGAUGAUCCGCCGGAAGAAAGCAACAUUACCUUGAUUUGCCGUUCUAUGUUGGCAGAGGUCAAGUUUCCAUCGCCCUUGGAAUGGGCCUAUAUCAGAUAAAAAAAAACAUCGGGAGAAUGCACAUCAUAAACGAGUUAAAUCCACCAAAAUAAGGUAUCCGAAUAACUACUCGAGACCGGCCACUACCUCUACCAGCAUCACCAACCCCAAUCUAUAGCUCCUCCUGCCGGGCGGAGUCAACAAGAAAUCGCCCGACCCCAACAACAUUUCACCUUCUACCGGCCCGACAAUCUAUUACCAGCAUUGACUACGACUCGUUUGACUUCACUUGCAUUAAAGUCAAAUUCUAUGCAAUUCUAUAUAUUUUUAUUGAAUUGAAUUGAACCUUCCUACCACAACCUCCUCAAGAUUUCAUUUUUGAAUGGCCAGCAGAGAAAAAUUCCAAUCCAAAAUUCUGGAUUUUGAAAAAUCCAGACGGUUGACCCUGCUGGCCCUCCACUACCCCUUACCAGCCGUUCCUGCUGCUGGAAUCUGACAUCCCGGACGCAGCUGAUCCUGCCGUCGGACGAGUGGAUACUACUACACCAACCACACGACGCGAUUCUUCAGGAUCGUCCAACAUCAUGCGGUCAGGGACCUGGUCUACCUGGGGCCGGCCCGCCCGCGUCUUCCUCUAUCGAAUUUCAAGCCCGUCGUGACAGUUUUACGGAGCAGUAAUAGCAGCAGGCCAUCAUGUGGCUCAACUAUCAUCCGACGGGCCAGCAGAUAAAUAAAGCAGACGGACGCAAUUGUCAAAAACAGCGCCAUCUAGUGUUGUUCUUGCAAGUUAAUUUACAACACCAUCUGGGAUCCAGAGAUGACACUAUGCAGAAAAAGAGCGGCGUAAAGCAAUUCCUUAGGCAGACAGCCAGGCUUCCAAGGAAGAGCUGCUGAAUCGAUUGGUGGAGGAGCGCGAGAAAUUGAGCGCGAUUUGGCAAACGCUCAGCAGCAGUGGCAGGAGCGAGCCGGUCAACUUGAAGCAGCCGCAUCGCAAGCAGGGCAGCAGGCUGAGCAGGUCGGCAGGGAGCUAAAGGAGAGUUUGGCCGCCCAGCAGAAGAGGGAGUUUAAUAUAAGGAUAAGGAUGCAGUAAAUGAUUGACCGCUGCAUGGCCGGCUGCCUUUUACUUCCCCUUUUUUAGCUGGCAGCUAUGCCACGUUCAACGCAGCACUUGGAUCUGAUGGGGUUCUUUUUUGUUCUUUUCUGAUGGCUGUUUCUCUAUUUUUUAUGUUAUUUUGCGUCACAUUGUCGUCACAUUGUUUCACAUCCCGUUUCUUUGUCGUUCGAUUGCUACUGUGGCAAACUAUAAUGCUUUUUUUUCGGGGGGCCGUGAUGUAUACUUUGGGUUGCAGUCAAUAGUUUAUUAAAUCAAGCACAAAGUGAAGAAUUCCAAAAGAGCUACUACUGGUAUUCUAUAGAUUAGUCGAUUUGUUGCGCCCUGUAAGUUCAAAUGUGUAGUAAUCGAGUUCGAGUUACGGGGGGACAAAAAAAAACUUUAAACAUAAUGGAGGAUACAAUAAAAAUGAUAAAAAUAUAUAUUUAUGGAAUCGGAAAAGAUUAGCAUGGGCUGUCGAUAUCGAGUCAAAGCGUAGAACGAGAAAAAAAUAUAUUUGCAUGAUAUUAUGUUUUAAAAGUAAUUAUAAAUGGAACUUAUUCUGAGAAAAUUUGUUUUUAAAUGUAACUGCUUCUUGCAUGCAAAGCAAGUCGUUGACUAAGGCAGAAUUGAGGAUUAGAUGUGAUGUUUAGCAAAAAACUUAACACUCAGUAAACGUAUGUUUGUUUCAAUGAGAUCAAAUGAAUAAAUUCAAUGCUUUGAGCGGGGGUUGGCAACUCCCCAGAAUCCUCGUACACCCUAGCCAGAAUCUUGUCAGAAUCUCAAGAAUCCCUCCAGAAUCCCCGGAAUCUCAUAGAAUCUUCAGAAUCUCGUAGAAUCUUUAGAAUCUCACAGAAUCCCGUAGAAUCCCAUAGAAUCUCGUAGAAUCUCCAGAAUCUCACUAAAUUUACCCCCUUUUUUAACUUUAAACUACCCCAAAACCGUCUAAAAUUCAAGAUAUUUUGUGAAUUUGGUCUUUGAAAAGCUCCAAUUGUAAAAAAUGCACUAGAAAUACUGCAAAAUGUAAAAAUAUGGGUUGCGCUAAAUCUUUUUAAAUUUUCCCUCCUUUUUCCCACCGAAUGGUGGCGUACACAUUUUUUCAUCUGCUCAUGAAUGUAAGAUGGGGUUGGAAAAAUUUAUGGUUAAAAAAACUUUAUUGAUAAUAUGCCAAUAAUUCCCAGCAAUUAAAGUUAAUUUUCCCCGUAUAUUUUAUUUUAAAAUUAAUAAUCUGGACUUUUAAUUCAAACCUAUCAAAUUUCUAACUAUC